rnacentral:lncRNA from 12 species
AUAACCGAACUCGUCCCAACAUCCUGUCACCACAUACUAAAUGUUUAUAAAUUAUGAAAGUCAACGCCACAUUCUCAAUUCAUUACUCGAGCUGGUUAAUCAUACGUCAGAACACUUUGGUAUCUCAUCGAAGUAACAUCGUGCUCUAAAGAGUGUAUUCCAGAGUCAUUUUUAACUAAAAAUCUAUUAGAAAUCUCAAAAUUAUUGUUUUUUGAGUGUGUGCCUUGACAGUUUUUUAAUUUGUGAUACCAGCUUAUUGAUUGGUUUCUGAAUCCUAGAAGAAUAUUUUAUUAUUUUCGAAGAAUUUAUUCAGAAUUACGAUGUUUCGCUUGAUAUUUGCACUAGCUUUUCUAUUACAUAUACGUGGAGAUGAAAAUUCACCCUACGAGUAAUAUGCUACUACCUAUUAUGAAUCCUAAACCAGUUGAACCAAUCGAAUUACUAGAGAUGAUAUUCUGUGGAUGUAAAACAAACUGUAACACAUCCCGAUGUUCGUGCAAAAAGGCUGGAAUAAAAUGUAGUUACAGUUGUAAAAAUUGCAAUGGCCAAAACUGUGAAAAUGCUUCAAAUUCGCAUAAGGUCAUACUUGAGAGUGAUACAGAAGAGCGACAAGAUGAUAUAGAUGAUAUAGAAGAUAAUGAAAAUCUGUGGAAUGAUGAAAUAAAUGAUUUUCAAGAAGAAGAAGUUGAUGAAUCACAAACUGAAAAUUAAAACAUUUUGCUGAAAAAUUCUGUCAAUUCUAUUUACUAGAAUAAUAUAACCAUUUUAUUAUAUAUUAAAUUUUUACAAUAAUCAUAUUUAUUUAAAUUUGGCAGUUUUAUCCUUGUAUUAUUGAUGUUGCUUCAUAAUAACAUUAAAAAAUGCUAUCGUAAAUUUUUCAACAAUAAUUUACUUACAGCGUCAUUGGUGCACCGGUUAAAUCAAAUUUGGGAUGCAAGGUAAUGCCAUUUUUCUGCUCAUUGGAUAGCUAUAUUGGACGCAUUCAAGCGCGGCUCGGUUUCCGCCGUCCCGCCGCUGCGCGCGGAGAGAGCGGUGGCGGCCAUGUCGUCUGCGCGCUCCCCUCUCCUGUCUCUACACCAAGCAAAUUUCUUUUUCAUUAAUUAUCUCGGAACUUUGCGCUCAUCGGAAUCGAGUAAAAAAUCGUUUCCAAUACAAAAUUUAACGCUCUUUCCAUUGAUGCCAGCCAUUUUUUCAUAGGUCAAGCCGAUCUCGAGAUAUAAGCAAAAAUAACUUUCGCACGCUGUUUUCGCAUAGAACCCCUCGUUCUAGGAAGUUGCAAAUUUCAGAAUCGGUUUUUCCGACCCCGAUUUACCAAAAAUGCAGCCAUUUCUACCGCAGGGCGAUUUCACAGCUAAUUUUACUGGACUAUAUCUUCGAAUAUUCAAAUUGAUUUUAUAUAUCAUCUGGAUUUAAGUAUAUUGCUCCAAAACUCCGAAAAUCUUAUGGAAACAAAUUUUGUAUACAUAUGAUUUAGCAUGUAAUUAUCAUGUGUAAAAUAUUAUCAGACCACGAGAGCAUCAGGAACUGCGUAUAAUCUUAAAUAAGCAAAAACCACAUGUGUUUUCCCAUAUAAGGCGUUCGGGUGUCGAACGCGCGAAGAUUUUCUAGCAGAUAGCAGAAUUGUCGAGAGCGCAUACAAAUAAGACUACCGGAACGCGCUAAAAAGAAAAAUAAUAAACCCCUCGAAUAGAUAAAAAAUAUCUCUUUCAGCCAGCACUUCCAGCCAAGCAUCCUCUCUCUCCUUGCUUCAAUGUGGAGAAUAAUAUGUAAUACGAUUUCUAUGCUUUACGUAAUACACGUAAUGAGAAUCAGAGUUUGAUAAGGGCGACAUCCGCAAAUAUUCUGAUGUGACUUCUUGACAAAACGACUUGAAUUUCAUAUUUUCGUCUUUGCAAAAUAGUAUAUUCGUAAUGAAACUGCGACUAAAGAUAUAGCCGUAGCCCACGUGCACGGGGUUGAGAAAUUUUGUACGUCUUCCUCGCACUGUUCGUCUCAUAGGAAGAUCCUUCGAAAGGUUUGUGUACAGAUAAUUGUGUAUGCAUACACGUGCGUAAAGGGUUGCGACUUAUACUUCGCGUGACAUCGGGUUGACGAGGCGGAGCGAAGUUAAUGGCCAGCGAGAAAGGAGCUGUUCGAGUUGCAGGACAGAGAUUUAUGAUGCGCUACUACAUGUAUACGCUGUCGUUUCGCUGUUUAGGGAAGCUGAAUAAGCAAAUCAAGCGUUUAUCGAUUUGAAAUUUUGAGAAGUGCUCAAGAUAAAAUAAUGUGGGUGUAUGCUUGUAUCUUCCGGUCGCGCAGGAGAUAAGACCGUCUGAUGCACUGUGAUGAGAAUCAAAACGCUGCAAUUUUCGUGCACUGCGAUAUUGGAUAUUAAUUUUAUUUUAGCAAAUAAUAUUGUCGUGUCCGAGCCUGAACGCGAUUGCGCGAUUCGAACACCAAGAAUCGCGCAUAGCGACCUUAGCAACGAGAUCAACGACAUCGCGGAUGUUAUUGUUUAUGUUUAGUCUGGUUUUGUCAGCUGUUGAGAACAAUUGUGUUUACGUUCGAAUAAAGAGUCCGAGUUCAAGAGUAAUUUUCUAUAAAUAA